UACGUAGGGUGCGAGCGUUAAUCGGAAUUACUGGGCGUAAAGCGUGCGCAGGCGGCGCGUUAAGACAGGUGUGAAAGCCCCGAGCUUAACUUGGGAAUUGCGCUUGUGACUGGCGUGCUGGAGUGUGGCAGAGGGAGGUGGAAUUCCACGUGUAGCAGUGAAAUGCGUAGAGAUGAUGGAGGAACACCGAUGGCGAAGGCAGCCUCCUGGGCCAGCACUGACGCUCAUGCACGAAAGCGUGGGGAGCAACAGG
rnacentral:rRNA from 1 species